rnacentral:lncRNA from 1 species
CGCCAACAAGCGAGGAGCCACCGAUUGCACCGAUUGGGAGAUAAUCUCCCUGAGAAAUGAUGGGGACCAGUUGCUUUGGCAGCUGCAGGGCUGCAUCUGAGCCCCAGUGCUGGUGUGUGUGUGUGUACCACCCCCAGAUCCACACCGCUAUUGGCUUGUUGCAGAAACAGAUGUUCUCAAUUCUCUUUGUCCCUAAUAGGCACUUAAAUGCUGGAGGGGGAGCCAGCAAUGGGGACAGAAAUCAUGUGACUAUUUCAGGCUUUUUUUUUUUUUUAAAGAUUAUUUAUUAUUAAUCCAAGUACACUGUAGCUGUCUUCAGAUACACCAGAAGAGGGCAUCAGAUCCCAUUACGGAUGGUUGUGAGCCACCAUGUGGUUGCUGGGAUUUGAACUUAGGACCUUUGGAAGAACAGUUGGUGCUCUUAACCACUGAGCCAUCUGUCCAGCCCCUAUUUCAGGCUUUUUCUGGAAGGGUAGGCUUCUGCAAGACUUGGGGUCUGGGAGUGGGUGUGUCAGAGGAUCAGCCCCCACCCUGAGUGCUUCUGGGAAAAUCCUGGGAAAGCUACCAUAGUAACAGUGGGCAUUGGGUGCUGAGGACAACUUCUUAGAGGAGCUGCCUUCAACCUGUCAUCGGGACUGGCCCCAAAGCUGAAGUCACAGGGAGGGAAUGCUGGGACUUCUGGCCUCCUGCCUCCCAGACUCGAGAGGAUUGGAAGGGGUCAAGGGCUGGUGAGACUGAUGUCUUUUGUUCCAUUCUCACUUGAUCCUUACCUGUCUGUCCAUCCAUCUAGUGUGCACACAUCACCCAUGCAUCUACUGAGAACAUCCAGUAUCUGGCAGCAGCAUGCAGGUUUGCAGGUAAAACAUUUCCCGAAAAAGGCUUUGCACCCCUUUUGCCUGCUGAGCCAUGGCCAUGAUUUAAUGGGAGCUUGGAGCCUUUCCUGCCCCUGAACAGCUCUGCAUCAACCUGCCUCAGUGCCCUGAGCUCCACAAUCCAUCAGCCUUGAGAAUGGAAGGUACCCCAUUUCCCAGAGGUCCAUGCUAAGAUACUGGCAUGCAACCGAGGAGAUUCUCAAAGAGAAAAAACAAAAAACAAAAAACCACUACCACUGUGUCACGGUAGAGAGCAGAGGGUCAGGCCUGGACACUCAGUGAACAGGUUCCGGUGGGAGAAAAACGAGAAGCAUCCACCCCAUAGAUGUUGCUUUGGGAGGGAAGAUCUGAGGAUGUCCCAGGAGCAAUGGGGACUUACAGGGGUGGGAGGAGAGGGGUAUCUCGUGGGGUGACCCAAAGCAUGACCCACGCAUUAUUGGAUGGUUUGCUUUUUGCCUGGAGACCCUCGAGGUAAGCAGAGACCUGUCUAAGAACAAUCCAGCACAAGGGAGAGUUGGGGGAAGAUUUUUAUUAUGCUCUACUGACCUGCAAAAGUGGGAUGCUCAGAAAUGGACCGACCUCUGUCACCACAAGCCCUGCCCCUGCAGAUGUCAAUGGGGCAGAGUAACAGGGGCAGAGGCUGCAGCUGUUUGGUUACCUUCCAGACCCCUGCAGCCUGCACUGUCUGUUGUCUUCCCCA